UUGUCCACGCGUUGCAACGCGCGGAUUAGUUUUGUCGCAGCCGUGUCCGUAAUUACAGCCGUGCUCGGCUGGACCGGAGAAUCGCCUCGAUCGGCGAUUGCUGCUACACCCGCCCAAACAUCUCAGAAUCGCGCUCCCUUCCCUACCGCCAGCCCGUGGCCAUGCGAGCAGAGCGAGAUUAGCAAGGACAUUAAGCGAGGGCCUCGCCGGGAAAACACAUUUCCCCUUUCGAUUCCAAUUUGGGGGCAAGAGGUGGAGGGAGGGGAGAGGGAGCAGCGAACUCUUGAAGAGAAGGCGGCCAAUUCGGCACAGCGGCGGGGACAAAUAAAGGCAAAGAUCCCCCAAGCGCAGUCUACAACGGACUGUCGGGGGCAAGUGCUGUGAGCGAGUAGCACCUGUGGCCAGCAACCACGCCCGGCCGCCUUUGUCUCCCCAGUUCCGAUGUUUACUACACAACGCGCCAGGUGGGCAAGUGGAAGAGAACACGAGGCCCAUGGGCUCCACAGAGAGGGGGACAGCUCACGAACGGUGGCCUCGAGACCUGGGAGUAAGAAAGACCUGGGAGGAAGAGAAAGAGACACACACGCGUGAAACAUUUUGAAAAUGAUUUUUUGUAUAUUCAAAUAAAAAUGAAAUGACCACUUGGGGGCGCUGUUGCGCUCAUAAUCCUCAUGUCACGCGUGGGUUAACAAUGCAAUAAAGCUGUUAAACCGGUUUACACGUAUGGUAGGCUGUAUAAUGGUAUUUAGUGCAUAUUUAUGAUGAAAUUUGACCGCUAAAUCUCCAAAACUGCCUUCAAAAUGGCCUAAUAUUCGCUCGCCACCAAGGGGCGCUGUUUUCGUAAAAAAAUGCAUAAAACGAAGUUUAACACCGGUAAAACGUAUUUUAAGCACGCUUUUACGAAAAUAUGUGCAAUAAACCCAGAAUUAUAUAUACACGCAAGGUAUAAACCCACGGACAGUGCAAAAGUACUACGUUUUGAACUCUUAAUUAAUUGACCUGCAACUAUUUAUCUUGUAAAAAAUAUAUAAACAAACUCAUUAUGUAUUUUUAAACCACGGCAUUAAAACCCGGGGCUUAUUAAAACGAACCAAAACAGAAACUCUUACAUUUCAACGACUAAAUUAUGUCUCCGCAUUUAAAUGUCAAUGCCAAACAUGUUUAGAAAUCAAACGUGCUUACUUGAAGUGUGCAGGACACAUUUCUACAGCGCUGUGCGAACCUGAGGCUUAUCAACGUGGACAUUUACAGCACCAAAGAAUAAUCUCACUAAUCUCUGCUGCGGCAUCAUGCUUUCCAUCUCGUACUCGAGUUGAUGGUCGUUGGUUUUUUUUUUUCAGGUUUCUUCCUUUUCCCAGACCAAGGCACCUCAACAUUUUCCCUUACACAUUUAAAAAAAAAACAUACGGAGCGUUGUAAUUUUUGCGCCGUUAUUUGCAGCCUGGGACGUCGCAUCGUGUGUGUGUGUAUAUUCCGUGCGGUCCAGCUAUCGCCACGGCGUCCCGAAAUGUAUA